rnacentral:tRNA from 1 species
GGAGAUGUAGCUCAGUUGGUUGAUCACUUGCCUUAGCAUGCAUGAAGCACUGGGUUUGAUUCCCAGGGUCCCCA